AGAAGUAUCUUUUGGCUGUUCUCAGUCAGUGGUCUAAAGUGAGUUUUUGUUAUUUCUACUAAAAUGGGGGAUGUGGACAUUGAUUUUGUGUUGUGUUAAGGUUUUUUUGUACCUCCAUGGUUCCACUUUUGACAGAGCCCAGGCAGAAGCAGGAGUUUUACGAUCAGGAAUUCUACCGCAGGGCAAAACGUCUAAGAAAUUAGACCAAAGGUGUAAGCUUUACAUCUAUUGCUGAACACUUCCCCUGGAGCUGUGCAGAUCUUUGGUGCCAUGAUAGUGUACACCUGAGUGACUCAGAAGGAAUGCCACGUCUUGCAGAAUUGAUUAAGUGUACAUAUCAGUUUUUUGAGAGGUCAAUACUGUUGCCUCCAGUGCAAAGCCAGGUGUCUCGUCCAUACAUUCCAAGAUUCGUGCCUUGUAAGGGGGUGAAGGGUUUGGAACGUCUGUGCCAACCUCCUUAGUGGAAAACUAAAGCAAAUUAGAUUACAAACUGUCCAAACCAGUCAGGCUAAGUUUAACACAAAACAACCCAAAAGGAGCACCAAACCUCCCAAACACAAGCUUCUAGCUUGAAGUCCACCUAAAGCAGAUUCAGAAAAGAAAAAAAAUAUACAAGCUAGGUCAAAAAGUUCUAACUGCCCAAAACAGUCUGAAACCAAAGAUGGGGGAACAGUUAAACAAAACCUUCCUACAAGCUGUCCCCAAACUGAAAGCUUUUC